UUAGACAGCUGAUAUGGCCCAAACACCGCUAACAGUCCACAAGCAGUCGCUACGAGCCAUGCCUUCUUCACUUGUGCCUGAAUUUACAAUAUAAUAAUGUAACAGUUGUGUAAACACAUAAAUGGUGAUAUUUAUAAAACAGUGUUUUGACUAACCUGGUGAGCAUCUAAAUCAAUAAUCAUCACCAGUUUACAGUCAUUUUCUUGUAAUGCAUCAUUCACAACCAAUGAUAUAUCAGCAU